rnacentral:lncRNA from 1 species
CCAAAUCAGCCGCAGCAGUCCAUGGGCUGCUCGUAAUUUCACUAUAGACGCGCCAAAACCGAUCAAAACCAUCCCAAACAUCGGAAAACAAAAGUGGGUUUGUCUUUGGGAUUUCGGGAAUCGAGUUCGAGGUCUGUUCGUGGUUCAUGGGUUCACGAGGCUCCCAUCGUGGUUGAAAUCGGUUCAAGUUGAUUGAAUAAAAGUAACAUUGAGGUUC